rnacentral:rRNA from 1 species
UUGCUAUUUUCAUGAAGAGCGGCGAACGGGUGAGUAACGCGUGGGAAAUCUGCCGAGUAGCGGGGGACAACGUUUGGAAACGAACGCUAAUACCGCAUAACAAUGAGAAUCACAUGAUUCUUAUUUGAAAGAAGCAAUUGCUUCACUACUUGAUGAUCCCGCGUUGUAUUAGCUAGUUGGUAGUGUAAAGGACUACCAAGGCGAUGAUACAUAGCCGACCUGA